rnacentral:rRNA from 1 species
AACUUUCAGCAACGGAUCUCUUGGCUCUCGCAUCGAUGAAGAACGCAGCGAAAUGCGAUAAGUAAUGUGAAUUGCAGAAUUCAGUGAAUCAUCGAAUCUUUGAACGCACCUUGCGCUCCUUGGUAUUCCAAGGAGCACGCCUGUUUGAGUGUUG